AAAAACUCAAUUCCUGAGUUUAUGUGUCUAAUAUUUAUCCAUUCAUCUUAUUUAAAAAAAUUAUAAAAUUUUUUAAAAAGUUAAGUCAUGCAUAAAAUAUUAUUUUUGUUUCAUCAUCUAACAAUAAUAAAAAUACUAAUCAUAAAAAAAUUUUAUAUAAGACGGACGGUCAAAAGUUGGACACUGAAACCCAAAAAUUCAGUCUUU
rfam:Oryza meridionalis cultivar OR44 (W2112) chromosome 3, whole genome shotgun sequence.